GACGAACGCUGGCGGCGUGCUUAACACAUGCAAGUCGAACGGAAAGGCCCUGCUUGCAGGGUACUCGAGUGGCGAACGGGUGAGUAACACGUGGGUGAUCUGCCCUGCACUUCGGGAUAAGCCUGGGAAACUGGGUCUAAUACCGGAUAGGAGCCAUUUUUAGUGUGAUGGUUGGAAAGUUUUUUCGGUGUAGGAUGAGCUCGCGGCCUAUCAGCUUGUUGGUGGGGUAAUGGCCUACCAAGGCGGCGACGGGUAGCCGGCCUGAGAGGGUGGACGGCCAAAUUUGGGCCUGGGAUCGGGCCAGACCCCCUCCGGGGGCAGGAGGGGGGAAUUUUGCACAAAGGGCGCAAGCCUGAUGCCAGCACGCCGCGGUGGGGAUGACCGCCUUCGGGUUGUAAACUCCUUUCGCUAGGGACGAAGCUUUUUGUGACGGUACCUAGGAAAGGAGCACCGGCUAACUUCGUU
rnacentral:rRNA from 1 species